rnacentral:rRNA from 1 species
AGACCCGAAACCCGGUGAUCUAGCCAUGGGCAGGUUGAAGGUUGGGUAACACUAACUGGAGGACCGAACCGACUAAUGUUGAAAAAUUAGCGGAUGACCUGUGGCUGGGGGUGAAAGGCCAAUCAAACCGGGAGAUAGCUGGUUCUCCCCGAAAGCUAUUUAGGUAGCGCCUCGUGAAUUCAUCUCCGGGGGUAGAGCACUGUUUCGGCUAGGGGGCCAUCCCGGCUUACCAACCCGAUGCAAACUGCGAAUACCGGAGAAUGUUAUCACGGGAGACACACGGCGGGUGCUAACGUCCGUCGUGAAGAGGGAAACAACCCAGACCGCCAGCUAAGGUCCCAAAGUCAUGGUUAAGUGGGAAACGAUGUGGGAAGGCCCAGACAGCCAGGAUGUUGGCUUAGAAGCAGCCAUCAUUUAAAGAAAGCGUAAUAGCUCACUGGUCGAGUCGGCCUGCGCGGAAGAUGUAACGGGGCUAAACCAUGCACCGAAGCUGCGGCAGCGACGCUGAUGCGUUGUUGGGUAGGGGAGCGUUCUGUAAGCCUGUGAAGGUGGCCUGUGAGGGUUGCUGGAGGUAUCAGAAGUGCGAAUGCUGACAUAAGUAACGAUAAAGCGGGUGAAAAGCCCGCUCGCCGGAAGACCAAGGGUUCCUGUCCAACGUUAAUCGGGGCAGGGUGAGUCGACCCCUAAGGCGAGGCCGAAAGGCGUAGUCGAUGGGAAACGGGUUAAUAUUCCCGUACUUGGUGUUACUGCGAAGGGGGGACGGAGAAGGCUAUGUUGGCCGGGCGACGGUUGUCCCGGUUUAAGCGUGUAGGUGUGUGUUCCAGGUAAAUCCGGUUCACUUUAACACUGAGGCGUGAUGACGAGGCACUACGGUGCUGAAGCAACAAAUGCCCUGCUUCCAGGAAAAGCCUCUAAGCAUCAGGUAACAUCAAAUCGUACCCCAAACCGACACAGGUGGUCAGGUAGAGAAUACCAAGGCGCUUGAGAGAACUCGGGUGAAGGAACUAGGCAAAAUGGUGCCGUAACUUCGGGAGAAGGCACGCUGACAUGUAGGUGAAGUGAUUUACUCAUGGAGCUGAAGUCAGUCGAAGAUACCAGCUGGCUGCAACUGUUUAUUAAAAACACAGCACUGUGCAAACACGAAAGUGGACGUAUACGGUGUGACGCCUGCCCGGUGCCGGAAGGUUAAUUGAUGGGGUCAGCGCAAGCGAAGCUCCUGAUCGAAGCCCCGGUAAACGGCGGCCGUAACUAUAACGGUCCUAAGGUAGCGAAAUUCCUUGUCGGGUAAGUUCCGACCUGCACGAAUGGCGUAAUGAUGGCCAGGCUGUCUCCACCCGAGACUCAGUGAAAUUGAACUCGCUGUGAAGAUGCAGUGUACCCGCGGCAAGACGGAAAGACCCCGUGAACCUUUACUAUAGCUUGACACUGAACAUUGAGCCUUGAUGUGUAGGAUAGGUGGGAGGCUUUGAAGUGUGGACGCCAGUCUGCAUGG